CCAUUUCCCCUCAGCAGCCCUCUUUUUUCUUUAACGGCUCUGUCAAGUCUCCGCGCGCAAACUUUGGUCGGUCGUUGAUUGGCUGGCUGCUGGUUAUGCCACUCCAGGACUAGACAGCACGAGCCUGCUUGCUCGCCGUUGAUUGGCCAGCUUCUGGCUCCGCCCAGGCAACUGGACAAUUUCUGCUUGUCUCCUCGCAUUUUGAAUUUAGGCGCCUGACGUGGAGGGAGGCUCGAGGGAGAGGGCCUCAGUGUCGCCUCAAGGCGCGAGCAGGGACGCCGGCAGGGGUGGAAAGCCAAGGCGGGCCGCUAGCCCAAGGCCCCUCCGUUGCAAUAUCUUACACUUUCCCUCUAAGGAUCCCCUCAUUUAGCUGGUGAGUGUUGAUGUACAAACCUUUCUGUGUUUACUUUUCAUGCUCUGAAUAUUGGUGAGAUGGCAUAUCUGACUUGCACAGAUGAUCAGCUUGGUCUGCCCUGCUGAUGGAGGAAGCAAGGAUAGUGGAAAUGCAGCAUCCUUGACCUCUUCAAGCAGUGUGGUGUGCUGACCAGGCUUGGCUGGCUGAAGGGACAUGGUGAUAAGGCAAGGGAACAAGUCCUGAAGGAUUAAGAUUUGAGGUUUGGUUCUCCUUCUUUAUUUAUGACAUUUAUAUGCUGCUCUGUCCAAACAGGUCUCAGUGUCUCAAUCGUGGAUCGGGCUCCUUGAUGAACAAAGAUGUUCUUCAAUAAACCAUUCAAAAGAAAGUAAAGAGUAAAGGUCUUAAAACUUAUGAAGCUUUUUUUGUUGUUGUUUAGGAGGAAAAGGGGAGAAAAGACAAAGCAGUACAGAAGGAGGAAGAAAAACAAGCAGAAACGAGAAACAA